rnacentral:rRNA from 1 species
AGCGAACGCUGGCGGCAGGCUUAACACAUGCAAGUCGAGCGGGCAUCCUUGUGGUGUCCGCGGCAGACGGGUGAGUCACGCGUGGGAACGUGCCCUUCGGUUCGGAAUAACUCAGGUAAACUUGCGCUAAUACCGGAUACGUGCGAGAGCAGAAAGGUUUAUCUGCCAAAGGAUCGGCCCGCGUCUGAUUAGUUAGUUGGUGAGGUUACGGCUCACCAAGGCGACGAUCAGUAGCUGGUCUGAGAGGAUGAUCAGCCACACUGGGACGGAGACACGGCCCAGACUCCUACGGGAGGCAGCAGUGGGGAAUAGUGGACAAUGGGGGCAACCCUGAUCCAGCCAGGCCGGGUGAGUGAUGACGGCCUUAGGGUUGUAAAGCUCUUUUCUCCGGGACGAUAAUGACGGUACCGGAGGAAUAAGCCCCGGCUAACUUCGUG